ensembl:miRNA xtr-mir-449c xtr-mir-449c
AAGUUUGGACCAAUGAGGCAGUGCACUUGCUAGCUGGCUGUUGUGUUCUGGAAGCUUACAGCUGCUAGCUGCACUCCACAUUGUUUCAUUCUG